UCUCCGUAGGUGAACCUGCGGAGGGAUCAUUACUGAGUGAGGGCCCCCGGCCCGACCUCCAACCCUUUGUGUAUCUCGACCCUGUUGCCUCGGGGGCGACCCGGCCGCUUCGGCGGUGCGGCGCCCCCCGGAGGCCAUUAAACACUGCAUCAUUGCGUCGGAGUUAAAGUAAAUUAAACAAAACUUUCAACAACGGAUCUCUUGGUUCUGGCAUCGAUGAAGAACGCAGC
rnacentral:misc_RNA from 1 species